rnacentral:rRNA from 1 species
CAUAGCGACUAUCGUGGCAUAUCAAUAAGCGGAGGAAAAGAAACUAACAAGGAUUCCCUUAGUAACGGCGAGUGAAGCGGGAAGAGCUCAAAUUUGAAAUCUUCAAGGUUCUACCUUGACGAAUUGUAGUUUAUAGAAGUGUUUUCUGUUAGUGGAGUGGCAAAAGUUCUUUGGAAUAGGACAUCAUAGAGGGUGAGAAUCCCGUAUUUGGUAAUUCCUCCUAGCGUUGUGAUACACUUUCAACGAGUCGGAUUGUUUGGGAAUGCAGUCCAAAAUGGGUGGUAAAUUUCAUCUAAAGCUAAAUAUUGGCGAGAGACCGAUAGCGAACAAGUACCGUGAGGGAAAGAUGAAAAGAACUUUGAAAAGAGAGUUAAACAGUACGUGAAAUUGUCAAAAGGGAAGCGUUUGACACCAGUGUUGUUUUUCCGAAAAUCAAUUACGAAUGUUUUAUUUUUGAGGAGUUAUGACUUCAUCGGCUUGCUCCUUUCUUUAUGAAACUUUCUUAAUGCACUUUUCGGUUAACAAGUCAACAUCAAUUUCUUUUGUUGUAAAAGGGUAUGAGGAAGGUGGCUUUCUUUUCGGAGAAAGUGUUUAUAGCCUUGUGCCUCUGCAAUCGGAGAGAUUGAGGUCUGCAGCGUAGAUCCUUCGGGGUUAGAUACGUUUGUGCUAAGUUAUAGCUUUUCAUAGACAACUUGUUGACUAUGUUUAGUCUUGUAGCUUACUCGCUUACGCUAUUUUACCUACGCUUAGGAUGUUGAUAUGCAUGACUGAUAU